rnacentral:rRNA from 1 species
GUAGGUGGCAAGCGUUGUCCGGAAUUAUUGGGCGUAAAGCGCGCGCAGGGGGUCCUUUAAGUCUGAUGUGAAAGCCCACGGCUCAACCGUGGAGGGUCAUUGGAAACUGGGGGACUUGAGUACAGAAGAGGAAAGCGGAAUUCCAAGUGUAGCGGUGAAAUGCGUAGAGAUUUGGAGGAACACCAGUGGCGAAGGCGGCUUUCUGGUCUGUAACUGACGCUGAGGCGCGAAAGCGUGGGGAGCAAACAGGAUUAGAUACCCUGGUAGUCCACGCCGUAAACGAUGAGUGCUAAGUGUUAGGGGGUUUCCCGCCCCCCUUAGUGCUGCAGCUAACGCAUUAAGCACUCCGCCUGGGGAGUACGGCCCGCAAGGCUG